GUGUGGAUUCAUCUCACAGAGUUAAACCUUUCUUUUGAUCCAGCAGGUUGGAAACACUCUUUUUUGUGAAUCUGUGAAGUAACAUUUUGGAGCCCAUUGAGGCCUAUGUGGAAAAACCGAAUAUCCCCAGCAGGUUGGAAACACUCCUUUUGGAGAAUAGGUGAAGGUAUAUUUGGAAGCCCAUUGAGGCCUAAGAGGAAAAACAGAAUAUCCCCAGAUAAAAAGUACAAAGAAUAUAUCUGUGAAACUGCUUUGUGAUGAGUGGAUUCAUCUCACACAGGUAAACCUUUCUAUUGAUUCAACAGGUUGGAAACACUGUUUUUGUACAAUCUGUGAGGGGACAUUUGGGAGCCCAUUGAGGCCGGUUGAGAAAAAAUGAAUAUCCCCAGAUAAAAACUAGAAAGAAGCUAUCUGUGAAACUCCUUUGUAGUGUGUGGAUUCAUCUCAUAGAGGUAUAUCUUUCUUUUGAUAAAGCAGGUUGGAAACAUUUUAUUUGGAGAAGCUGUGAAGGGACAUUUGAAAGCCCAUUGAUGCCAAUGGGGGAAAACUGAAUAUCCCCAGAUAAAAACUAUAAAGAAGCUAUCUGUGAAUCUGCUUUUUGAUAUUUGGAUUAAUCUCACAGAGUUAAACCUUUUUUUUUAAUUCAGCAGGUUGGAAACAUCCUUAUUGAAAAUCUGUAGAGGGACGUUUCAGAGUCCAUUGAGGCCUAUGGGGAAAAACUGAAUAUUCCCAGAUAAAGACUAGAAAGAAGCUAUCUGUGAAAUUGCUUUGUGAUGUGUGGUCUCAUCACAAAGAGCUAAACCUUUCUUUUGAUUCAGCAGGUUGGGAAACACUUUUUUUAUAGAAUUUGCAAUUGGCCAUUUUUGAGCUCAUUGAGGCCUACGAGGAAAAAGAGAAUAUCCCCAGAUAAAAACUAGAAAGAAGCUAUCUGUGAAACUCCUUUCUGAUGUGUGAAUUCAUCUCACAGAGUUAAACUUUCCUUCUGAUUCGUUAGGUUGGAAAAGCUUUUUUUUGGAGAAUCUGUGAAGGGACAUUUCAGAAUCCAUUGAGGCUGAUGAGGAAAAACAGAAUAUCCACAGAUAAAAACUAGAAAGAAGCUGUCUGGAAAACUGCUUUGUGAUGUGUGGAUUCAUGUCAAGUGUGAAAGUUUUUUUUUUUUUUUUUUUUUAAUUCAGCAGGUUGGAAACUCUAUCUUUGGAGAUUCUGCAAAUGGACCUUUUAGAGCCCAUUGAAGCCUACUGGGAAAAAUCGAGUAUCCCCAGAUAAAAACUAGAGAGAAUCUAUCUGUGAAACUGCUUUGUGAUGUAUGGAUUCAUCUCACAGAGUUAAACCUUUCUUUUGAUUCAGCAGGUUGGAAAUGCUGUUUUUGGAGAAUCUGCUAAGGGACAUUUAGGAGCCCAUUGAGUCCUAUGUGAAAAAAACAAAUAUCCUCAGAUAAAUACUAGAAAGAAGAUAUUUGUGAAACUGCUUUGUGAUGUGAGGAUUCAUCUCACUGAGAUAAACCAUUCUUUUGAUUCAGCUGGUUGGAAACACUCUUUUUGGACUAUCUGCAAAGGGAUAUUUGAGAGCCCAUUGAGGCAUAUGGGGAAAAUCUGUAUAUCCUAAUAUUAAAAGUAGAAAGAAGCUAUCUGUGAAACUGCUUUGUGAUGUGUGGAUUCAUCUUACAGAGUUAAACCUUUCUUUUAAUUCAGUAGGUUGGAAGCACUCUUUUUGGAGACAUUGUGAAGGAAUGUUUGGGAGCCCACUGAGGCCUAUGUAGAAAACCCAAAUAUCCCAAGAUAAAAACUAGAAAGCAGCUAUCUGUGAAACUGCUUUGUUAUGUGUGGAUUCAUCUCACAGAGUUAAUCCUUGCUUUUGAUUCAGAAGGUUGGAAACACUCUUUUUGGAGAAUCUGUGAAGGGACAUUUGGGAGCCCAUUGCAGCCUAUGGGGAAAAAAGGAAUAUCCCCAUUCAUAAACUAGAUAGAAGCUAUCUGUGAAACUGCUUUGUUAUGUGUGGAUUCAUAUCACAGAGUUAAACUGUUCUUUUGAUUCAGCAGGUUGGAAACACUCUUUGGAGAAUCUGCAAAGGGAUAUUUUGGAGCCCAUUGAGGCAUAUGAGGAAAACCUAAUAUCCUCAGAUAAAAACAGACAGAAACUAUCUCUGAAACUGCUUUGUGAAAUCUGGAUUCAUCUCACAGAGUUAAACCUUUGAUUCUACAGCUAGUUGGAAAACUCUUUUUGAAGAAUCUGUGAAGGGACAUUUGGAAGCCUAUUGAUGCCUAUUCAGACAAAUGGAAUAUCCUCUGAUGAAAACUAGAAAAAAGCUAUCUGUAAAACUGUUUUGUGAUGUUUGGAUUCAUCUCACAGAGGUAAACCUUUCUUUUGAUUCAUCAGGUUGGAAACAGUCUUUUUGGAGAAUCUGCAACUGGGCUUUUGGGAGCCCAUUGAAACCUAAGGGGAAAAACUGAAUAGUCCCAGAUAAAAACUAGGAAGAGGCUAUCUGUAAAACUGUUUUGUGAUGUGUGGAUUCAUCUCACAGAAUUAAACCUUUCUUUUGAUUCAUCAGGUUCGAAACACUUCUUUUGUAGAAUCUGCAAAGGGACAUUUGGGAGCCCAUUUUGGUCUAUGUAUAAAAACCAAAUAUCCCCAGAUAAAUACUAGAAAGAAGCUAUUUGUGUAACUGCUUUGUUAUGUCUGGAUUUUACUCACAGACUUUAAACAUUUUUUUUUUUAUUCAGCAGGAUGGAAACAGCCUUUUGGUAGCAUCAGUGAAGAGACAUUUGGGAGUACAUUGAGGC
rnacentral:lncRNA from 10 species